AUGCGCAACACAGCCGCGUCCGCUACUCGCGGCCGACGCGUGCACCGAGCCUGGACGCCUCCGCGACGCGAGCAAGCUGCACCUGCGCAGUUCGAGCCGGCCAAUCCAGGUCCGGGCUGGAUUCGGUGGCGGGAGCGGUGGGUCGGACGGCCUGAGAGGGCGGGGCGAGUGCAAGUUCUGGGUCGCAAGGUCGGGGUGUUAAGGAGCGUGGCAGAGACGACGCGAACGGACGAGGCAGGAAGCAGCUGUCUGCCCGGCCCCCCGCGGCGAGCAGUCCCAGGAUGCUCCGCGCCGCACCGCGCCUGGCCCCGGACUCCAUUUCCCAGCAGCCACUGCGGCUGGCGCCGACAGCCUGCCCGAGCGCUUUGGCCCCUUUGUGAGUCCGCCCGUCGGGCCCGAGAUCGAGUCCACGCCCCGGCCGCAGAGCGCUCAGCUCCCAGCCUCCGCGAACGGUGCGGAGCGAAGUGCCGACUCUCGGGGAGAAGGCGCUCUGUUUUCUCUGGACACUGCCCUUCUCCCAAAGAGAAGCCAGAAGGUGGAGGACAGAAGGGCUGUCCUAAAUUCUUAAAGCCAUGUCUGAGGUAAGGAAGCUUUUCUACUCUCUUCUCUGAAAUGCCUUGUUUUUCAGAUUUUAUAUGAACAUUUUGCUUUUCUUCUGAAAUUUCCCAUUCUAAAAUUCCAUUCAUUCAGUGACCUGGUCCUCAUGUUCUCCAGUCUAGUAAAAGGAGGUCCCCCCAAACCCACUGAGCCUCUUUUUUUUCUCAGCCAGAAUUUUCAUCUUCAUUCAAGAAACAGUUUAGCACUUCCUGCGGGUUAGGUGUUCUGUUGGGAGGUCUCAAGAGGCAAAAAUACACUCCUUGGUGGAAUCUGAAAGUCUUCCCUGUAGGGAAGUGAAGUGAUUCACUGAGGUCAAGGUGGGUGUUCAGAUGUGACCAACAGUUUAGAGCUUUUCCACAGACCUGGGUUUGAAAAGUAGACAGGGACUACUUGGGGAAGUCUUAGUUGUAGUAUUGAUACAUGACAGGGUUGCUUGCUCAAGGUGAUUUUGAGGAGUGGGAUUUGUUGUGUCUUGAGUAUUAAAGUGUGGGUCAGCUAGGGCAGGAGUGUUUUUCAGGCAUUCUGCAGGCACUGAAGAGUAGGAUUCCAUGGGGGUAAUGAGGUCCUUUUCUAGGGAUAUCCUGACUUAGUAGCUGGUUACAGCUAAAAUAUUCUAGAUCAUGCAGUAAAGAUUAGAGGAGUUAAUAUGGAAAAAUAGCAGGGAAUUUUUUGAAAAAGGAGAAUAGUAGGGAGUAUUGAAUCUACAUAAAAAAAUGGCUAAAUACAUCUGUAAUAACAAAUCGUAAAUAGUAAAUAACAAAAAUAGUAUAGAAUGAGAGCCAGAAGAAAUAAAUGAAAAAAUCAGCAUAUAAUAUCCAGAAACAAAUGCAAAUAUGAAUAAGAAUAGAAAAUAUUUAUUCAUUCACUGAACAUAUAGUUAUUAAAGACUUACUAUAUAUUAACUGCUGGCA
rnacentral:lncRNA from 1 species